rnacentral:rRNA from 1 species
UAGUGAGUUUGAUCCUGGCUCAGAGCGAACGCUGGCGGCAGGCUUAACACAUGCAAGUCGAACGGGCACUUCGGUGCUAGUGGCAGACGGGUGAGUAACACGUGGGAACGUACCCUUUGCUACGGAAUAACUCAGGGAAACUUGAGCUAAUACCGGAUGAUGACUUCGGUCCAAAGAUUUAUCGCCCAAGGAUGAGCCCGCGUAGGAUUAGCUUGUUGGUGAGGUAAAGGCUCACCAAGGCGACGAUCCUUAGCUGGUCUGAGAGGAUGAUCAGCCACACUGGGACUGAGACACGGCCCAGACUCCUACGGGGAGGCAGCAGUGGGGAAUUUUCCGCAAUGGGGCAAAGCCUGACGGAGCAAGACCGCGUGA